rnacentral:rRNA from 1 species
AUUGAACGCUGGCGGCAUGCCUAACACAUGCAAGUCGAACGGGGCAGCAAUGCCUAGUGGCGGACGGGUGAGGAACACGUAGGAAUCUGCCCUUAAGUGGGGGAUAACCAGGGGAAACCCUGACUAAUACCGCAUGAUCUCUUCGGAGCAAAGAGGGGGACCGCAAGGCCUAUCGCUUCUGGAUGAGCCUACGUCUGAUUAGCUAGUUGGUAGGGUAAAGGCCUACCAAGGCGACGAUCAGUAACUGGGCUGAGAGGAUGAUAAGUCAAAACGGAACUGAGACACGGACCGGACGCCUACGGGAGGCAGCAUUGGGGAAUAUGGGACACUGGGCGCAAGCCUGAGCCAGCAAUGCCGCGUGUAUGAAGAAGGCCUUCGGGUUGUAAAGCACUUUAGCCUGGAAAGAAAAAACUUUGGUUAACACCCAAAGUCUUGACGGUACCAUGAGAAUAAGCACCGGCUAACUCUGUGCCAGCCGCCGCAGUAAGAC